rnacentral:rRNA from 1 species
GAUCAUGGCUCAGAUUGAACGCUGGCGGCAGGCUUAAUACAUGCAAGUCGAACGGUAACAGCAGAAAGCUUGCUUUUUGGCUGACGAGUGGCGGACGGGUGAGUAAUACCUAGGAAACUGCCUAAACGAGGGGGAUAACAUUUGGAAACGAGUGCUAAUACCGCAUAAUACUGAGAAGUCAAAGGUUGGUUUACCAAUCGCGUUUAGAUGUGCCUAGGAGGGAUUAGCUAGUUGGUGGGGUAAAGGCCUACCAAGGCGAUGAUCUCUAGCUGGUCUGAGAGGAUGACCAGCCACACUGGAGCUGAGACACGGUCCAGACUCCUACGGGAGGCAGCAGUAGGGAAUAUUGCACAAUGGGGGGAACCCUGAUGCAGCCAUGCCGCGUGUGUGAAGAAGGCCUUCGGGUUGUAAAGCACUUUCAGUUUGGAGGAAGGUAUUUGAGUUAAUAGCUUAGAUAUUUGACGUUACAAACAGAAGAAGCACCGGCUAACUCCGUG